rnacentral:rRNA from 1 species
UGCGACCUCACGUCAGGCG